GGGCCCGCACAAGCGGUGGAGUAUGUGGUUUAAUUCGAUGCAACGCGAAGAACCUUACCAGGGUUUGACAUCCUGCGAAUCUCUUGGAAACUUGAGAGUGCCUUCGGGAACGCAGUGACAGGUGGUGCAUGGCUGUCGUCAGCUCGUGUCGUGAGAUGUUGGGUUAAGUCCCGCAACGAGCGCAACCCACGUCUUUAGUUGCCAGCAUUAAGUUGGGCACUUUAAAGGAACUGCCAGUGAUAAGCUGGAGGAAGGUGGGGAUGACGUCAAGUCCUCAUGGCCCUUACGUGUUGGGCUACACACGUGCUACAAUGGCACUUACAGUGGGAAGCUAAGACGCGAGUCCAAGCUAA
rnacentral:rRNA from 1 species